AAUAGAUACCCGGGUAGUCCAUGCCGUAAACGUUGGGAACUAGGUGUGGGUCUCAUUCCACGAGAUCCGUGCCGCAGCUAACGCAUUAAGUUCCCCGCCUGGGGAGUACGGCCGCAAGGCUAAAACUCAAAGGAAUUGACGGGGGGCCCGCACAAGCGGCGGAGCAUGCGGAUUAAUUCGAUGCAACGCGAAGAACCUUACCAAGGCUUGACAUACACCGGAAACAUUCAGAGAUGGGUGCCCCGCAAGGUCGGUGUACAGGUGGUGCAUGGUUGUCGUCAGCUCGUGUCGUGAGAUGUUGGGUUAAGUCCCGCAACGAGCGCAACCCUCGUUCUAUGUUGCCAGCACGUGAUGGUGGGGACUCAUAGGAGACUGCCGGGGUCAACUCGGAGGAAGGUGGGGAUGACGUCAAAUCAUCAUGCCCCUUAUGUCUUGGGCUUCACGCAUGCUACAAUGGCCGGUACAAAGGGCUGCGAAACCGUGAGGUGGAGCGAAUCCCAAAAAACCGGUCUCAGUUCGGAUUGGGGUCUGCAACUCGACCCC
rnacentral:rRNA from 1 species